rnacentral:lncRNA from 1 species
GAGUGUUGAAUAAAUGAGGUGGAAGAGAGAGAAGAUGAUGUGAAAUGUUAAAAAGAGAAAAAAAAAAGUGUUAAAUAGGGAGAGGGUGUAGAAACCAUUAAUUAGGAAGUAGAGUUACAUUGGAGCCUAAAAAAUUAACAAACUAAAGCAUUAUAAGCAUUAUGAUGAGUUCAGAGUUAGAUGCAGAGACAGAGAAGCAUAUUGAGUUCAUGUAAAAGAACUUGGAAGCAUUAAUUUGAAAUAAAUAUGAUAAAAACUGAAUCAAAAUGAAGGCAAGGAUGAUCCUUCCAAUAGAAACAUGCCUACAUAAGUGUAUAUAGAUUUGAAUGUUUUUUUUAAGCAAAAAAAAAAGUAUAUAGAUUUGUAAACUAUGAAUUAGAGGGAGACCUUAAUAGU